UCACUAUUUCAUUAACUAUUUUAUAUCAAGAGGAUCAAGAUCCAGAUCCCGAUCAACAAGACAGUUGUGGAUAGUUCACCAUCUGAACUUCCUUCAAAUGCUAGUGAAGGUUAUCCUAUUGUAGCGCCUGGGGAAAUUGAAGAAGAAGAGAAAAGAAAAAAAAAAAAAAACUGUGCGCGCCACGUCAGCAGACCCAGUCAGCAGUCCUGGCCAACCAGGACCUGCCACGUGGCAAAACCACGUCAACCGGGGACGGGCCACGUUGGCGAUCCGCGUGCGCGCGAUCGGACGGCCCAGAUCAAUCGCGCGCACGGACGGCCCAGAUUUAAUCGCACGGACGGCCCAGAUUUAAUCAAAA
rnacentral:lncRNA from 1 species